rnacentral:rRNA from 1 species
AGACCCGAAACCCGGUGAUCUAGCCAUGGGCAGGUUGAAGGUUGGGUAACACUAACUGGAGGACCGAACCGACUAAUGUUGAAAAAUUAGCGGAUGACCUGUGGCUGGGGGUGAAAGGCCAAUCAAACCGGGAGAUAGCUGGUUCUCCCCGAAAGCUAUUUAGGUAGCGCCUCGUGAAUUCAUCUCCGGGGGUAGAGCACUGUUUCGGCUAGGGGGCCAUCCCGGCUUACCAACCCGAUGCAAACUGCGAAUACCGGAGAAUGUUAUCACGGGAGACACACGGCGGGUGCUAACGUCCGUCGUGAAGAGGGAAACAACCCAGACCGCCAGCUAAGGUCCCAAAGUCAUGGUUAAGUGGGAAACGAUGUGGGAAGGCCCAGACAGCCAGGAUGUUGGCUUAGAAGCAGCCAUCAUUUAAAGAAAGCGUAAUAGCUCACUGGUCGAGUCGGCCUGCGCGGAAGAUGUAACGGGGCUAAACCAUGCACCGAAGCUGCGGCAGCGACGUUUAU